UGUCAUCUCUAGAUCCAUUCCGGUUAACUGAUGAUGCUAAAGGUGUUUUUAGUUUAAGCAAAAGUCAGGCAAAAAGGGACAAUUCCCAAAUGAGGAACGGAGAGACCGCAGAUUACUCGGUUCCUGAUGAGCGUCCUUUGGUCAUGGUUACUCGAACCUUCUCCCCGUGGGGAGGCAAAUAGUUGAAACUAACCUAACAAAUAUUCAGAGCUGCAGUGGAGGAGGCUGUUAGGCUGAAACAAUCUAAUUCCUAAAUGCAUAUUAUGUCAUUUAAAAUAAAAUAUUGAAUAAUAGAUAUUAAGAUAUGUG